GAGGAACGAGAGAGACAGGCUUAACACAUGCAAGUCGAGGGGCAGCAUGGUCUUAGCUUGCUAAGGCCGAUGGCGACCGGCGCACGGGUGAGUAACACGUAUCCAACCUGCCGUCUACUCUUGGACAGCCUUCUGAAAGGAAGAUUAAUACAAGAUGGCAUCAUGAGUCCGCAUGUUCACAUGAUUAAAGGUAUUCCGGUAGACGAUGGGGAUGCGUUCCAUUAGAUAGUAGGCGGGGUAACGGCCCACCUAGUCUUCGAUGGAUAGGGGUUCUGAGAGGAAGGUCCCCCACAUUGGAACUGAGACACGGUCCAAACUCCUACGGGAGGCAGCAGUGAGGAAUAUUGGUCAAUGGGCGCAGGCCUGAACCAGCCAAGUAGCGUGAAGGAUGACUGCCCUAUGGGUUGUAAACUUCUUUUAUAAAGGAAUAAAGUCGGGUAUGUAUACCCGUUUGCAUGUACUUUAUGAAUAAGGAUCGGCUAACUCCGUG
rnacentral:rRNA from 1 species